rnacentral:rRNA from 1 species
CAGCAGCCGCGGUAAUACGAAGGGGGCUAGCGUUGCUCGGAAUCACUGGGCGUAAAGGGCUCGCAGGCGGUUUCUUAAGUCUGAUGUGAAAGCCCCUGGCUCAACCGGGGAGGGUCAUUGGAAACUGGGAAACUUGAGUGCAGAAGAGGAGAGUGGAAUUCCACGUGUAGCGGUGAAAUGCGUAGAGAUGUGGAGGAACACCAGUGGCGAAGGCGACUCUCUGGUCUGUAACUGACGCUGAGGAGCGGAAGCGUGGGGAGCGAACAGGAUUAGAUACCCCCGUAGUCCCUGUCUCUUAUAC